GUCCCACCCGUUCCCAUACCGAACACGGAAGUUAAGCAGCCCAGCGAUCUGGUAAGUACUGCCUAACAGGUGGGAACACCAGGACGUUGCCAACC
rnacentral:rRNA from 1 species